GCCUUGGCGACUGCGGCAGCCGCACGCGCUGCUGGCUUCCAUCGCCGAUUGUGUUCCUCUUGCGUCCGCCUCCAUGCGCUUGCAGCUGGUGGCUGUGGUAACGGGACUGACGGCGAAGGAGAUUCGACAGAGCCGAUCGUGACGAGCACCUCAUCCUCCUUUUACUCCGCAGGAUCAGCGUCCCCUUUUCUUUUGUGUCAGACCAACAGGGUAAUUUUAGCUGGCUUCAUAAUCUGCAGGUAGGAUGACGUACGUUGUUGAUUUGUUGUACUAAUGCGUGAUCGGGCAUCUCGGGAGGAUGUAAGUGGAACAUUAGCUAGGCCAUGGACAACACAUUGCAGAGGCCAUUAAUAUGUAGCAAAGCCAUUUUAUGAGGUCGUUGUUGACAACAAUGUUAUGCUCAACUUUGAGAGCCAA